rnacentral:rRNA from 1 species
AUUGAACGCUGGCGGCGUGCCUAACACAUGCAAGUCGAGCGGUAACAGGUGUAGCAAUACAUGCUGACGAGCGGCGGACGGGUGAGUAACGCUUGGGAAUCUGCCUAUUAGUGGGGGACAACCCGGGGAAACGUCGGGCUAAUACCGCAUACGCUCUACGGAGGAAAGCCGGGGACCGCAAGGCCUGGCGCUAAUAGAUGAGCCCAAGUCGGAUUAGCUAGUUGGUAGGGUAANGGCCUACCAAGGCGACGAUCCGUAACUGGUCUGAGAGGACGACCAGUCACACCGGAACUGAGACACGGUCCGGACUCCUACGGGAGGCAGCAGUGGGGAAUAUUGGACAAUGGGCGAAAGCCUGAUCCAGCGACGCCGCGUGGGUGAANAAGGCCUGCGGGUUGUAAAGCCCUUUCAGUGGGGAAGAAAAGCCUCGACCUAACACGUCGGGGUCUUGACGUAACCCAUAGAAGAAGCACCGGCUAACUCUGUGCCAGCCGCCGCCGUAAC